CAUGGAUCUCCAGGCACCAUAAGAGCUUCAUUCCAACGAAAUUGUUAUGGGGCACAGAAGGUUUGUUUAACACUUUAUGAAAGGACUCCAGGUACUAUAAAUAAUUCAAAGCAAUUAAAUUGCUAUAGUGCCUAGACUGUUACUUUAAAAUGGUAUUUGUGUUUUAAAAGUCGAGUUGCCCCCAUCCUGUCUGAGACCCAAUUUCUGGACUCAAUGUCAGAAUGAAAGCCAUAAACUAUUAUUUAGCUCUCUGC